ACACGACUACAUUAGAUACCCCUGUAGUCCUAGCCGUAAACGAUACUCGCUAGGUGUCGGCCACGGUGCGACCGUUGUCGGUGCCGUAGGGAAGCCGUGAAGCGAGCCACCUGGGAAGUACGGCCGCAAGGCUGAAAACUUAAAGGAAUUGGCGGGGGAGCACCACAACGGGUGGAGCCUGCGGUUUAAUUGGACUCAACGCCGGGAAGCUCACCGGAUAAGACAGCGGAAUGAUUGCCGGGCUGAAGACCCUGCAUGACCAGCUG
rnacentral:rRNA from 1 species